rnacentral:rRNA from 1 species
CAGGCUUAACACAUGCAAGUCGAGGGGCAGCAUGGUCUUAUCUUGCUAAGGCCGAUGGCGACCGGCGCACGGGUGAGUAACACGUAUCCAACCUGCCGUCUACUCUUGGACAGCCUUCUGAAAGGAAGAUUAAUACAAGAUGGCAUCAUGAGUCCGCAUGUUCACAUGAUUAAAGGUAUUCCGGUAGACGAUGGGGAUGCGUUCCAUUAGAUAGUAGGCGGGGUAACGGCCCACCUAGUCUUCGAUGGAUAGGGGUUCUGAGAGGAAGGUCCCCCACAUUGGAACUGAGACACGGUCCAAACUCCUACGGGAGGCAGCAGUGAGGAAUAUUGGUCAAUGGGCGAGAGCCUGAACCAGCCAAGUAGCGUGAAGGAUGACUGCCCUAUGGGUUGUAAACUUCUUUUAUAAAGGAAUAAAGUCGGGUAUGCAUACCCGUUUGCAUGUACUUUAUGAAUAAGGAUCGGCUAACUCCGUGCCAGCAGCCGCGGUAAUACGGAGGAUCCGAGCGUUAUCCGGAUUUAUUGGGUUUAAAGGGAGCGUAGAUGGAUGUUUAAGUCAGUUGUGAAAGUUUGCGGCUCAACCGUAAAAUUGCAGUUGAUACUGGAUAUCUUGAGUGCAGUUGAGGCAGGCGGAAUUCGUGGUGUAGCGGUGAAAUGCUUAGAUAUCACGAAGAACUCCGAUUGCGAAGGCAGCCUGCUAAGCUGCAACUGACAUUGAGGCUCGAAAGUGUGGGUAUCAAACAGGAUUAGAUACCCUGGUAGUCCACACGGUAAACGAUGAAUACUCGCUGUUUGCGAUAUACGGCAAGCGGCCAAGCGAAAGCGUUAAGUAUUCCACCUGGGGAGUACGCCGGCAACGGUGAAACUCAAAGGAAUUGACGGGGGCCCGCACAAGCGGAGGAACAUGUGGUUUAAUUCGAUGAUACGCGAGGAACCUUACCCGGGCUUAAAUUGCAGAUGAAUUACGGUGAAAGCCGUAAGCCGCAAGGCAUCUGUGAAGGUGCUGCAUGGUUGUCGUCAGCUCGUGCCGUGAGGUGUCGGCUUAAGUGCCAUAACGAGCGCAACCCUUGUUGUCAGUUACUAACAGGUUCCGCUGAGGACUCUGACAAGACUGCCAUCGUAAGAUGUGAGGAAGGUGGGGAUGACGUCAAAUCAGCACGGCCCUUACGUCCGGGGCUACACACGUGUUACAAUGGGGGGUACAGAGGGCCGCUACCACGCGAGUGGAUGCCAAUCCCCAAAACCUCUCUCAGUUCGGACUGGAGUCUGCAACCCGACUCCACGAAGCUGGAUUCGCUAGUAAUCGCGCAUCAGCCACGGCGCGGUGAAUACGUUCCCGGGCCUUGUACACACCGCCCGUCAAGCCAUGGGAGCCGGGGGUACCUGAAGUGCGUAACCGCGAGGAGCGCCCUAGGGUAAAACUGGUGACUGGGG